rnacentral:lncRNA from 14 species
GCCAGUUCAUACAACUAGGGAGCACCAGCAUCAGCACUAGAACUGGAUCAUGGAGGCAUGAGGAGCCCACAUCCUGACCAUGCAGGAAGAUAUUUAUAAAAACCUUGCACCAGCCCGGGCUACAGAAGAACAUGAAAGGUCUGUGGACCAAACACCAGGAGAAAAACAUUCUCUGAUAGUCUCUUUACCUUUAAGAAGUCAUAUCUUCUUCAAAGUAAUUUCAAAUGUGAAUGGAAAAACAAGAUGGAAAAAGGACCUUCUUCAAUAUGAAUGUUGGAUGUUCCCACUGGGCAAACUGCAAAGAAAAUUCAGCAUAAAAUAAGUUUAAAGAAGCUUUAUAAUAAUAUUAUCCUUUGUAAACUCAUUUAAAUUUCUCUAUCAAAAGCUUCAAAAAUGUUAUUCUCUGACAACUGAGGUCACAGAAGUAAAAUUUCUUGUGUAGAAAAUACCUAGUUUCUAAAGAUAACGAAAAGUUACAAUGAAAAUAUGUUUUUGUAUUGAGUGGGAAUUAAGUGACCUAGUAGAAGGAUUGAGAUGAAACCUGUGAAUGAUUUUUCAUUUUGCAGUUCACCUUAAUACCAGCUUCUGUUCCUCUUGUUGCAGCGUAUUAUCACAUCAGAUAAUUAGAGCAAUAGUUUAGGAUUUCAAAGGUAACUUUCUUUCUUUAUCCUUGGCAUCCAGUCAUUCUAUGUCAUUCAAAAAAACUCAAAACACCUAGACAGACCUGCUGCCUUAGAUCAUCCAGCAUACCUCAAUACAGGCUGCUCUUUACAGAAAGGACUUGAUGUAGUUUGUUCUAUAAAAUGAACCAUGCUGGAAUUUUCACAGUUUCUAUCAAAUGUGUCUUUCUUCAUAAUUUCACUCUUAAGAAGCUUUCACGUGUUCAAGUCCUAAUUUUAUUUUACAGAUUUCAUCCUGUUGUAUUGGCUACUAGUUAAGUGGAUUAUACUAAAUAAUUCCUCUUAUUCUUUGUAUCUGCACAUGAAAAACAUAAGCAAGUACAAGCUGAUGUUUGUUUUCUUUUUUAUCUGUUGUUUUUCUUUCACUUUUCUGACCUAAUAAUCAAUAUCAGGACAGAGAUGAAGGUCAUGUCACAGCUGGGCGCAAAAGAAGAAGGACAGUGAAGACAGAGGCCACCAAGUGCUCACAAAGAGAAACAGCUCACAUUUAUUAUGAGAUACACUGGCAGCCAGCACAGAAAUGCAAACUUCCAAAAUAACUUGCACUGCCAAGUAUUCUGUUUAAUAAAUAAUUAGUAACUGACUAAUGUACUUCA